AACGAACGCUGGCGGCAUGCCUAACACAUGCAAGUCGAACGAGACCUUCGGGCCUUGUGGCGCACGGGUGCGUAACGCGUGGGAACCUGCCCUUAGGUUCGGAAUAACUCCCCGAAAGGGGUGCUAAUACCGGAUAAUGUCUUCGGACCAAAGAUUUAUCGCCUUUGGAUGGGCCCGCGUUGGAUUAGCUAGUUGGUAGGGUAAAAGCCUACCAAGGCGACGAUCCAUAGCUGGUCUGAGAGGAUGAUCAGCCACACUGGGACUGAGACACGGCCCAGACUCCUACGGGAGGCAGCAGUGGGGAAUAUUGGACGAUGGGCGAAAGCCUGAUACAGCCAUGCCGCGUGAGUGAUGAAGGCCUUAGGGUUGUAAAGCUCUUUUACCCGGGAUGAUAAUGACAGUACCGGGUGAAUAAGCUCCGGCUAACUCCGUG
rnacentral:rRNA from 1 species